rnacentral:rRNA from 1 species
CCUACGGGCGGCAGCAGUGAGGAAUAUUGGUCAAUGGCCGAGAGGCUGAACCAGCCAAGUCGCGUGAGGGAAGAAUGUCCUAUGGAUUGUAAACCUCUUUUGUCAGGGAGCAAAGUCACCCACGUGUGGGUGUUGGAGAGUACCUGAAGAAAAAGCAUCGGCUAACUCCGUGCCAGCAGCCGCGGUAAUACGGAGGAUGCGAGCGUUAUCCGGAUUUAUUGGGUUUAAAGGGUGCGUAGGCGGGUUAUCAAGUCAGCGGUAAAAUCGUGGAGCUCAACUCCAUCCAGCCGUUGAAACUGAUGAUCUUGAGUGGGCGAGAAGUAUGCGGAAUGCGCGGUGUAGCGGUGAAAUGCAUAGAUAUCGCGCAGAACCCCGAUUGCGAAGGCAGCGUGCCGUGCCGCCACUGACGCUGAGGCACGAAAGCGCGGGGAUCGAACAGGAUUAGAUACCCCUGUAGUC